rnacentral:rRNA from 1 species
UACGAGGGGGGCAAGCGUUGUUCGGAAUUAUUGGGCGUAAAGAGCUCGUAGGCGGCUUGUCGCGUCGAAUGUGAAAACCCACGGCUCAACUGUGGGCUUGCAUUCGAUACGGGCAGGCUAGAGUUCGGUAGGGGAGACUGGAAUUCCUGGUGUAGCGGUGAAAUGCGCAGAUAUCAGGAGGAACACCGGUGGCGAAGGCGGGUCUCUGGGCCGAUACUGACGC